rnacentral:rRNA from 1 species
CGGCAAGGCGAUAGCAUGUUGAAUGUACUAGUUCCCGAUGGAUCACUGAUGUUAGGCAAAGUUGAGCGUGGUUAGGAUCCGGAUGGGUGACCACCAUCUGGGCGUGCUCCUGGCUUUUCCAC